UUUGGGUGAGUGAGAAGAGAGCUUCUCCUCUUUGGUGGCCGGCGGCUUGUGAUUCCGGCAGGGAAGGAGGACUGUAUCCUCAUCAAGACGUGACUGUGAAGGGGAACCGGCUUGUUACGAGAGCCGCACCAUGGUGGUGGGCGUUUCUGGACAGAUUCCAGUGGUGGAGGAGCGGCACUUUCCUUCCUUUUAUUCUGACAGUGGAGAUGGCGGCGUCGACAUGACGCCGGCGGUGGGUCUGUAGCAUCGACCCUCUCCCCCUUCUCACUGUUGAUUUUUUUUUAUGGCUUUGACGGCAAGGCUGAAGAACGACCGGCGGUGGGCCUGCCGUCGGUCCUGAUUGGUUUCAGGGAGGAACCAUCUCCCUCUCAUGUUAUAUGUCUCCAAACAUACAUUGAUUUAUGGAACUAACAUUUUACUAUGAACUUGCAAACAUAUUAUGAUUGUUGUAGUGACUGAAUUUGUUACUCAUGAAUUAAAAGAGACUAAAAAUGACAGCAUUUGUUAUAAUGACUUGUGGAUAAAGACCAAAUGUGUUCUGUAUAUUCAUGGUGCAUGUUACUAAUGAUAGCAUUUUACAAAUGAAAAAAAAUUAUCUUUUUCACAUGAACAAAACAUUAACUCAACAAUGCCUACUCUUAAACUCAAUACCUAUAUUUGAAUGCUUGAGUCUGGAUGAGUGAAAUAAAUAUAUACAAUAUGCAUUAUAGAUACAGGGAUAACAUUUAGGUUUAACGUAAUAUCAUAUAUAUUGACGAUAUAUAAUACUAACCUGGUAAAUUGGAUAUAUGGUGGAGUCGCUUUCUCUACUCAAUUGCCUUUAGUGUUGAUCACCUUCCCUUACUGCUCU